rnacentral:rRNA from 1 species
GACGAACGCUGGCGGCGUGCUUAACACAUGCAAGUCGAACGGAAAGGCCCUGCUUUUGUGGGGUGCUCGAGUGGCGAACGGGUGAGUAACACGUGAGUAACCUGCCGUCGACUUUGGGAUAACUUCAGGAAACAGGGGCUAAUACCGGAUAGGAGCUCCUGCUGCAUGGUGGGGGUUGGAAAGUUUCGGCGGUUGGGGAUGGACGCGCGGCUUAUCAGCUUGUUGGUGGGGUAGUGGCUUACCAAGGCUUUGACGGGUAGCCGGCCUGAGAGGGUGACCAGCCACAUUGGGACUGCGAUACGGCCCAGACUCCUACGGGAGGCAGCAGUGGGGAAUAUUGCACAAUGGGCGGAAGCCUGAUGCAGCAACGCCGCGUGCGGGAUGCCGGCCUUCGGGUUGUAAACCGCUUUCGCCUGUGACGUAGCGUCAGUGACGGUAAUGGGUAAAGAAGCACCGGCUAACUACGUG